ACGACCCCAGGUCAGGCGGGGCC
rnacentral:rRNA from 1 species